rnacentral:rRNA from 1 species
CGGGCCGAUUAGCUUGUUGGCGAGGUAAUGGCUCACCAAGGCAUUGAUCGGUAGCCGGACUGAGAGGUUGGCCGGCCACACUGGAACUGAGACACGGUCCAGACUCCUACGGGAGGCAGCAGUGGGGAAUCUUGCACAAUGGACGAAAGUCUGAUGCAGCAACGCCGCGUGGGGGAUGAAGCUUCUCGGAGUGUAAACCCCUUUCGACCCGGAAGAAUGCCCGCAAGGGUUUGACGGUACGGGUAUAAGAAGCCCCGGUUAACUACGUGCCAGCAGCCGCGGUAAAACGUAGGGGGCCAGCGUUGCUCGGAAUUACUGGGCGUAAAGGGUCCGUAGGCGGUGUGGCAAGUCGGUCAGUGAAAUCUCUGGGCUUAACCCAGAGGCUGCUGCCGAAAUUGCCGUGCUAGAGUGUGAGAGAGGCGAGUGGAAUUACGGGUUGUAGCGGUGAAAU